AUUGAACGCUGGCGGCAUGCCUUACACAUGCAAGUCGAACGGCAGCGCGGACUUCGGUCUGGCGGCGAGUGGCGAACGGGUGAGUAAAGCAUCGGAACGUACCCGGAAGUGGGGGAUAACGUAGCGAAAGUUACGCUAAUACCGCAUAUUCUGUGAGCAGGAAAGAGGGGGAUCGCAAGACCUCUUGCUUUCGGAGCGGCCGAUGUCAGAUUAGCUAGUUGGUGAGGUAAAGGCUCACCAAGGCGACGAUCUGUAGCGGGUCUGAGAGGAUGAUCCGCCACACUGGAACUGAGACACGGUCCAGACUCCUACGGGAGGCAGCAGUGGGGAAUUUUGGACAAUGGGGGCAACCCUGAUCCAGCCAUGCCGCGUGAGUGAAGAAGGCCUUCGGGUUGUAAAGCUCUUUCGGCCGGGAAGAAAUCGUAUGGGUUAAUACCCUGUGCGGAUGACGGUACCGGCAUAAGAAGCACCGGCUAACUACGUGCCAGCCGCCGCAGUAAGAC
rnacentral:rRNA from 1 species